rnacentral:sRNA from 1 species
UUGGUAGCCCAGAGAUGGAAGUCCUCUAUUUUUAUCCACAGAUCAGGUACAGCACAAACAGUGGCUUCCUCUCUUCACACAUGAUCUUGCCAGUACACUUCACCCUAAAAUAGUGACCAGUUCUGUAGGGAUGGCAGGGUGUUCGGUCUUCAAAUGUAUUCAAUCCUUCAUCUCU